rfam:Reticulomyxa filosa solexa3751819_1.f1.exp, whole genome shotgun sequence.
GAUUGCAGAGGUUAAUUCAUAUCGAACUAAUCUUUCGCCUUUUACUAAAGGUUACCGUGGAUUGGCCUCCUCGAAUGCGAUCUUAGUCUUUUUGUAAAAAAAGCAAUUUAUUA